GUUAUACACCGGCUUUUAUUCUCAUUUUUAUAUUGUAAUAAAAAAUAUCCACGCUGUCAGCUAGAAAGGUAGCUAGCUAUCUAAUUUAGCUAUCUAACGUUACAUGGUUGCUAGCUAAAAGCUUAGCUACCGGGAAUUCCCCUGCUUGGUACAAGAUAGCAAUAUGACGAUAGCUUUAGUACAUUAGCUAUCACACUUACGUAAAAAAGCAGUGUAAAAUAUUAAUUUUCACUAUCAUAGCUCAGCAAUCAUGGAAAAUAACCUUUGCUUUGGCAAGUCCUUUGCCCUUCUCUGAUUCCUAUACUAGUGAACUAAUAAUAUUACUGUUAUGGCCGCUUGAUUCUCGAGAGCCAUGGCUAUGAAGAUGUGUAUGAUUGUAGAAGUGUUAUACUCAACUCUUCUGCAUGAAAAUCAUUAUGGUUUAUACAUAAAACCAUGUAGUGAACAAUCCUAAUAACUGGGUUGUGUACAUGUUUUUUUCUGUAGGAUUCCAGCGUCGAAGAGCCGCAGACCGGACAGGAAGACCUUGAAAGGGCUGCCCAACUGAAAGGAGAGGCUGCCCGACUGAAAGGAGAGGCUGUGGCCGACUGAAAGGAGAGGCAAGGAGAGGCUGUGGCCGACUGAAAGGAGAGGCUGGCCGACUGAAAGGAGAGGCUGCCCGACUGAAAGGAGAGGCUGCCCGACUGAAAGGAGAGGCUGGCCGACUGAAAGGAGAGGCUGCCCGAAUGAAAGGAGAGGCUGUGGCCGACUGAAAGGAGAGGCUGCCCGACUGAAAGGAGAGGCUGCCCGACUGAAAGGAGAGGCUGCCCGACUGAAAGGAGAGGCUGUGGCCGACUGAAAGGAGAGGCUGCCCGACUGAAAGGAGAGGCUGCCCGACUGAAAGGAGAGGCUGGCCGACUGAAAGGAGUGGCUGGCCGACUGAAAGGAGAGGCUGCCCGACUGAAAGGAGAGGCUGGCCGACUGAAAGGAGAGGCUGGCCGACUGAAAGGAGAGGCUUUCAGGCUUUCACUCAAGGAGAGGCUGGCCGACUGAAAGGAGAGGCUGCCCGACUGAAAGGAGAGGCUGGCCGACUGAAAGGAGAGGCUGCCCGACUGAAAGGAGAGGCUGUGGCCGACUGAAAGGAGAGGCUGGCCGACUGAAAGGAGAGGCUGGCCGACUGAAAGGAGAGGCUGGCCGACUGAAAGGAGAGGCUGCCCGACUGAAAGGAGAGGCUGUGGCCGACUGAAAGGAGAGGCUGCCCGACUGAAAGGAGAGGCUGCCCGACUGAAAGGAGAGGCUGCCCGACUGAAAGGAGAGGCUACCCGACUGAAAGGAGAGGCUGCCCGACUGAAAGGAGAGGCUGCCCGACUGAAAGGAGAGGCUGGCCGACUGAAAGGAGAGGCUGGCCGACUGAAAGGAGAGGCUGGCCGACUGAAAGGAGAGGCUGGCCGACUGAAAGGAGAGGCUGGCCGACUGAAAGGAGAGGCUGUGGCCGACUGAAAGGAGAGGCUGGCCGACUGAAAGGAGAGGCUGGCCGACUGAAAGGAGAGGCUGGCCGACUGAAAGGAGAGGCUGCCCGACUGAAAGGAGAGGCUGCCCGCUGAAAGGAGAGGCUGGCCGACUGAAAGGAGAGGCUGGCCGACAAGAAGACUAAAUUGCGAGCGCUGUCCAUUGAAGGGGAGAUGCUGGAGCUGUCCGCUUCCCUUCUACCUGGAGUGAUUUUUUACAUCAUGGUGUACCGGAGAGCUAUCCCAGGGUCUCCAGAAAUCCAAGACAACCUCAAUGGUGCACCUGCCUGAAUUGCAGGGAGACUCCUGCACCUUACAACACACAACUGCUGCCAUUUCACCACUGCAAUAUUCCAUUUAUUUUUUACCAAGUAUGUUACCAUAACAAGAUGACACUUCCAUGACUACACCAUACCUGAUUCUUAAUUUGGAUCUACAUUUCAAAAAUAUGGUAAAAUCUUUAAGUAGUUUUGUGAAUGUUUCCUUGGUCUGGGUGAAAUCAGUUCAAUGCUUUACCAGUUCACUACAUUGUUUCCCUUUACACUACCUUGUAUUCUUGUUUAUCUACCUCAUAAAACUUUAUUUGACCUGA